UUUGAUUAACGAGCUAGUCAAGUAGAGGCAUACUAGAGACACUCUGUUUUGUCUAAGUAUUCACACAUGUGCUAAGUUUCCGGUUAAUACAAUUCUAGUAGGAAUAAUAAACAUUUAUCAUGAUAUAAGGAAAUAUAAACAACAACUUUAUUAUUGCCUCUAGGGCAUAUUUUCUUCACGAGAGCCCAUAUUAGAGGCUACCUAAUUAAACUCCUAGAGAUUGUAUAGAAAAAUUGAACUCCUGACUACCCAUAUUAGAGGGCACCUGCAGUCCGUCCCAAGUAAGCGUGUUGUGUGGCAGCCUGUGCUGCUCCUGUCAAGAGUAGGCGUGAACGGAGAGACAACGCAUAACAGUGACGCAAACUCAAGCGGGAGAUAGCAAUAUGGAGGGGCUCUGAAAACAGAGAGAUAAAUAUGGCGGCAAUCUGCUCCCGAUCCGGAAUCACGCCGCGCGAUGGCAUCCGGUCCAGAUCUUGGGGAGGCGUUGUUCUGCGGGAAGACAAAAAUAGGCAGCCGACCGAUCACCAGAUAUUACUUACUAUGAUUUGCUUUAACAAGGGGACAAAUAGUUUAAUUAGUGAUCAACUGACAAGAAUCUAAACAAUCUAUGACAUUCAUCUCCUAAGACACAUCCAACAGUUGUGAAGAAGCAGUUACAUGAGGGCGAGGAUUGGAACAAGGACUGGGAGAGGAUGAGGAACAUACCUAGUACAAAUCCAAUCUCACUUCCUUCUUUUUUCAUCAUUAAUUACCAACAUUGCCAUCAGGAACAUCUACAAAAUAUGUGUUCUCAAUUCCUGGAUAUCCCAUGAGAAAUAGCAGCAAUAAAAAAAGAUGAAACUGGACUUAAAUAGUUUGUUUAGUGUUGUAAAAAUUCAAUGUGUAUGUAAACAAAAGAACAGUACACAGGUAACGAACUACCAUUAAAAGAACCAGUUGUUGUACAAAAUAUAAUCAAUUAGGGUGUAAAAACAUCAUCGUGAACCUGCACCAAAUCCAGAAACUAAAGAACAUUAUCUAAAGAAGAAGACAUAUGUAACACAUGAAGAAUGUAAUCUUCUGGCAAUAACUACUAUCUGGCACACCAAAAUAACAUAGCCUGCUGCAGAACAAAUAAACAUGACUAUGUAGAGAGAGAGAGACCAUCUUUUUCUUCACCAAGCACUUCCUCAAGAUUCAUCCCCUUCUCCUUUUCUCUCAGACCUGCACACAUGUGUUUAGAAAAACCAUAAAUCGAGGAGUAAAAACUGGGGAAGAAAAUGAGACCUUGCUGCUCCUUGCCUCAUGGCUAUCCCUCUCAUCCAGAAGCACAACAACCUGCCAUGUUCUUCUCAAGAUCAAAAUAGUAGUAAUCAAAUUUCACAAAUAAAACAUCAACAAACAAUGGUUAAUUAGUAAAGAACCAAUUUUAUCUAUUGCAGCGACACAGAUUUCUUAGCUUGCGUACAACUCUUAUGUGAUAAGAAGUCAAUUCUGCUGGGUAGUAAGUACCUCGUGGAGAUGGUUGGCAUGGCGAAGCUAUAGGAGCCACCCAUCACGACGAGGAGGCGAGAUACGAAGAACAUUUGCAGUAAGGUGUUUAUGCCUGUGACGAACAAGAGCGUCUAAAUUUCCUGGUAUGUAUAUUGAAUGGCUAAAGUUUAUUCAAAUAUCAGGUAGGUACAUCCACAGUAGCACAACAAAUGAAGUAGUUGAAGGUGCGGUACGAUGUAGGCGGUUCAUCCUUGCUUUGUGAUACCAAAAGUUGUAGACAUAAAAUAAAAUUUAUCACACUGUGGGCUCUGAGUAAGAUAAAGAAAAGAAAAAAGGUGAACCUGGCAUCCGUGAUGCUCAUGAACUUUAUGAGUUCCAAUUAGCUUCCUGGUAUUUCUAUCAUAAUCAUUUGCCAAUAUAGAGACAUAUCACUGCAGAAGGUUUCUUCUUAAAAGGAAAAUUAAAGACACACUCCUUCGGUUGGAAUGAGUACAAGCUAGGUAUAUCACAGAUGCACCAUAAUAAUUUCAAAAGCGGUGAAAAAAUAUGCAUCCAACAUAGAACAUAGG
rnacentral:lncRNA from 1 species